UCUUACGAAUGAGCAAAGAAAGUGGUUUCUUGAGACAGAUUCUAUUCCUGGUGAAGAUGCUAUGAA
rnacentral:pre_miRNA from 1 species